AGAGUUUGAUCAUGGCUCAGAACGAACGCUGGCGGCAGGCUUAACACAUGCAAGUCGAACGCCCCGCAAGGGGAGUGGCAGACGGGUGAGUAACGCGUGGGAAUCUACCCAGUUCUACGGAACAACUGAGGGAAACUUCAGCUAAUACCGUAUACGCCCUACGGGGGAAAGAUUUAUCGGAAUUGGAUGAGCCCGCGUUGGAUUAGCUAGUUGGUGAGGUAACGGCUCACCAAGGCGACGAUCCAUAGCUGGUCUGAGAGGAUGAUCAGCCACACUGGGACUGAGACACGGCCCAGACUCCUACGGGAGGCAGCAGUGGGGAAUAUUGGACAAUGGGCGCAAGCCUGAUCCAGCCAUGCCGCGUGAGUGAUGAAGGCCUUAGGGUUGUAAAGCUCUUUCAGUGGGGACGAUAAUGACGGUACCCACAGAAGAGC
rnacentral:rRNA from 1 species